CCUACGUGGGACUGCAGUGGGGAAUAUUGGACAAUGGGGGGAACCCUGAUCCAGCAACGCCGCGUGAGUGAUGAAGUAUUUCGGUAUGUAAAGCUCUAUCAGCAGGGAAGAAAAUGACGGUACCUGACUAAUAAUCCCCGGCUAACUCCGUGACAGCAGCCGCGGUAAUACGUAGGGGGCAAGCGUUACCCGGAUUUACUGGGUGUAAAGGGAGCGUAGACGGUGCAGCAAGUCUGAGGUGAAAGGUUGGGGCCCAACCACGGGACUGCAUUUGAAACUGUUGAGCUUGAGUACAGGAGAGGUAAGCGGAAUUCCUGGUGUAGCGGUGAAAUGCGUAGAGAUCAGGAGGAACACCAGUGGCGAAGGCGGCUUACUGGACUGUAACUGACGUUGAGGCGCGAAAGCGUGGGGAGCAAACAGGAUUAGAUACCCCAGUAGUC
rnacentral:rRNA from 1 species